rnacentral:lncRNA from 1 species
UCAGUUAAGAACAAAUUAUUAUUUACAAUGACGGCCUACCAAAAGGCCUCCUGCGGGGACGGGGGCUGGAAUUACAUUAUUAAGGAUUAAAAAUUAAAAAUAAAUAAAAUAUGAAUAUAGGAUAAAACACACAUCACGACAGGAGAGACAACACAAUAAUACAUAAAGAGAGACCUAAGACAACAACACAGCAAGGCAGCAACACAUGGCAACACAACAUCACAACAACAUGGUAGCAGCACAAAACAUGGUACAUACAUUAUUGGGCAGAGACAACAGCACAAAGGGCAAGAAGGUAGAGACAACAAUACGUCACACAAAGCAGGCACAACUGUCAAUAAGAGUGUCCAUGAUUUAGUCUUUGAAUGAAGAGAUGGAGAUAAAACUGUCCAGUUUGAGUGUUUGUUGCAGCUCGUUCCAGUCGCUAGCUGCAGCGAACUGAAAAGAGGAGCGACCCAGGGAUGUGUUUGCUUUGGGGACCUUUAACAGAAUGUGACUGGCAGAACGGGUGUUGUAUGUGGAGGAUGAGGGCUGCAGUAGAUAUCUCAGAUAGGGGUGAGUGAGGCCUAAGAGGGUAUUAUAAAUAAGCAUCAACCAGUAGGUCUUGCGACAGGUAUACAGAGAUAACCAGUUUACAGAGGAGUAUAGAGUGCAGUGAUGUGUCCUAUAAGGAGCAUUGGUGGCAAAUCUGAUGGCCGAAUGGUAAAGAACAUCUAGCCGCUCGAGAGCACCCUUACCUGCAGAUCUAUAAAUUAUGUCUCCGUAAUCUAGCAUGGGUAGGAUGGUCAUCUGAAUCAGGGUUAGUUUGGCAGCUGGGGUGAAAGAGAUGAUAGGGGCAGCAACCUUAAAGAUAAAGGAUCUAAACCAUCUGACCCCAAAUGUUUUUUUUUGGUUCAAGUUUAAGGAGCUCCUUUAGCACCUCAGACUCAGUGACUGCCUGCAGGGAGAAACUUUGUAGCGGGGCAGGGGGAAAAGAGGGAGAAGCAUCGGGGAUAGUCGCAUUAGAAGGGGUGGGAGAUGAGGAAAUGUUGGACGUGCAAGGAGGCAUGGCUGAGUCAAAUAGGAAUCCUGGCUUAAUGAAGGGGUGAUUAAAGAGCUCAGCUAUGUGCUUGUUGUCAGUAACAACCACAUCAUCAACGUUAAGGGACAUGAGGAGGCAGCUGUGAGGAGGAGGGUUUAUUCUCCAGGUAUUUAACUGUUUUCCAGAACUUCUUGGGGUUGGACCUACAGAUGCUUCUCCCUCUUUGUCCCCUUUUUUUCCUCGCACAAAGGUUCUUAACCUGUCUCUCCUUUCUGGGGAGGUUCCCAUUGCUUGGAAGGCAGCCACCUGCUCCUUAACGUUGAACCAGGGGCUGAACCUGUUUUUAAUUAUCUUUUUCUUUAUGGGGUGUGUUUGUUAACAAUACCCCUGAAAAUAUCAAUAAAAGAGGUCCAAGUGUCUUCAACAAUCAAGCUGAUUCUAUACCAUUUUACAGAGGGGAUCAAUCUGAUUCUAUACCAUUUUACAGAGGGGAUCAAGCUGAUUCUAUACCAUUUUACAGAGGGGAUCGAGCUGAUUCUAUACCAUUUUACAGAGGGGAUCAAGCUGAUUCUAUACCAUUUUACAGAGGGGAUCAAGCUGAUUCUAUACCAUUUUACAGAGGGGAUCAAGCUGAUUCUAUACCAUUUUACAGAGGGGAUCAAGCUGAUUCUAUACCAUUUUACAGAGGGGAUCAAGCUGAUUCUAUACCAUUUAACAGAGGGGAUCAAGCUGAUUCUAUACCAUUUCACAGAGGGGAUCAAGCUGAUUCUAUACCAUUUUACAGAGGGGAUCAAGCUGAUUCUAUACCAUUUAACAGAGGGGAUCAAGCUGAUUCUAUACCAUUUAACAGAGGGGAUCAAGCUGAUUCUAUACCAUUUAACAGAGGGGAUCAAUCUGAUUCUAUACCAUUUAACAGAGGGGAUCAAGCUGAUUCUAUACCAUUUUACAGAGGGGAUCAAGCUGAUUCUAUACCAUUUUACAGAGGGGAUCAAGCUGAUUCUAUACCAUUUUACAGAGGGGAUCAAGCUGAUUCUAUACCAUUUUACAGAGGGGAUCAAGCUGAUUCUAUACCAUUUAACAGAGGGGAUCAAGCUGAUUCUAUACCAUUUAACAGAGGGGAUCAAGCUGAUUCUAUACCAUUUAACAGAGGGGAUCAAGCUGAUUCUAUACCAUUUAACAGAGGGGAUCAAGCUGAUUCUAUACCAUUUAACAGAGGGGAUCAAGCUGAUUCUAUACCAUUUUACAGAGGGGAUCAAGCUGAUUCUAUACCAUUUAACAGAGGGGAUCAAGCUGAUUCUAUACCAUUUAACAGAGGGGAUCAAGCUGAUUCUAUACCAUUUAACAGAGGGGAUCAAGCUGAUCAUAUACCAUUUUACAGAGGGGAUCAAGCUGAUUCUAUACCAUUUUACAGAGGGGAUCAAGCUGAUUCUAUACCAUUUUACAGAGGGGAUCAAGCUGAUUCUAUACCAUUUUACAGAGGGGAUCAAGCUGAUUCUAUACCAUUUUACAGAGGGGAUCAAGCUGAUUCUAUACCAUUUUACAGAGGCCAGUUCAUGAAGGAAGUCAUUUCACUGAGCAGCCACUACAAACACAGGCUGUAAAACAGUGAUCAUUAACAUUACAUCAUCAAACAGGUCAUUACAGAAAACACCAGACUGAAACCUAUCAGGAUUAUUUGUGAGGAUAACACCACAGAGAGUAGCCUUUUCUGGGUGUUUGGAGUCAUACCUUGUGGGAUUGGUAAUAAUCUGAUAAAGAUUUAGGGAGUGCCAUUGCUUUAGGACUUGGUCAGGGGGUUUAAGCAUGUCCCAGUUUAGGUCACCUAGCAGGACAAAUUCAGACUUAGUGUAAGGGGCCAGGAGAGAAUUUAGGGCAGGUAGGGUACAGGCCAGUGCUGAUGGAGGACGAUAGCACCCAGGAAGAGUCAACAAAGAGCUAUUUGAAAGUGUAAUACUUAAAACCUGCAAAUCAAAUUGUUUGGGGACAGACUUGGUGGAGACAACCGAGCACUGAAGGUGAUCCUUGGUAAAGAUUGCCGCUCCACCACCUUUGGAAGAUCUGUCUGAAAAAGGUUAUAACCAGAAAGGUUAACAUCAGUAUUCAAAACACUCUUCCUUAACACUGUCUCAGUAAUGACCAACACAUCUGGAUUGGAGCUGUGAACCCACACUUUCCAUUGAUCCAUUUUAGGUAAUAAGCUUUUAGAGUUAACCAGCAGAAAACCCAGGCUUUUACGAGAGCAGAAAUCAGUGAAGCAGAUAUCAGAGCACAAAGUCAGAAUUGGUGCCAGCAACAGUAGAUGUGCCAGGGUGUAAAUGCACAUUUCCAGAUAUCAUCAACAGUAAUACAAUCAGGGCACGGCAGAGGACAGGGAGAGCACCAGAUGGCAACAAGAUCAGAUUGUACAGAAAUGUCAUCAGGUAACAUGAAUACAAAGCCGGCGGUGGUUAGAAUAGGAUGGGAGGCCAAAAGUCUGUGUAACCAAUAGACAGUCAGAGUCCCGAGUGUGGAAACAAACAUAGUCUGUCCCACGGUUGGGUAAAGAAAGUUCGUAGUCAACAAAGUAUGAAGGAGUCAUGAGGCAAAUAGCAAAAUGAACAAGAAAAAUAAAAUACACUACCGUUCAAAAGUUUGGGGUCACUUAGAAAUUAGCUUGUUUUCCAUGAAAACAUACAUGAAAUGAGUUGCAAAAUGAAUAAGAAAUACAUUUUUAUCAAAUUAAUAGGAAAUAUAGUCAAGACGUUGACAAGGUUAUAAAUAAUGAUAUUUUAUUUAAAUAAUAUUUGUGUCCUUCAAACUUUGCUUUUGUCAAAGAAUCCUCCAUUUGCAACAAUUACAGCCUUGCAGACCUUUGGCAUUCUAGUUGUCAAUUUGUUGAGGUAAUCUGAAGAGAUUUCACCCCAAGCUGCUCCCACAACAGCUCAAUAGGGUUGAGAUCCGGUGACUGUGCUGGCCACUCCAUUAUAGACAGAAUACCAGCUGACUGCUUCUUCCCUAAAUACUUCUUGCAUACAGUGGCUUGCGAAAGUAUUGAACCCCUUUGGCAUUUUUCCUAUUUUGUUGCCUUACAACCUGGAAUUAAAAUAGAUUUUUGGGGGGGGUUGUAUCAUUUGAUUUACACAACAUGCCAACCACUUUGAAGAUACAAAAUAUAUUUUUUUGUGAAACAAAGAAAUAAUAAAAAAAUAAUAAUAACUUGAACGUGCAUAACUAUUCACCCCCCCAAAGUCAAUACUUUGUAGAGCCACUUUUUGCAGCAUUUACAGCUACAAGUCUCUUGGGGUAUGUCUCUAUAAGCUUGGCACAUCUAGCCACUGGGAUUUUUGCUCAUUCUUCAAGGCAAAACUGCUCCAGCUCCUUCAAGUUGGAUGGGUUCCGCUGGUGUACAGCAAUCUUUAAGUCAUACCACAGAUUCUCAAUUGGUUUGAGGUUUGGGCUUUGACUAGGCCAUUCCAAGACAUUUAAAUGUUUCCCCUUAAACCAAUCAGGUGUUGUUUUAGCAGUACACUUAGGAUCAUUGUCCUGAAGGUGAACCUCUGUCCCAGUCUCAAAUCUCAGGCAAGACUGAAACAGGUUUCCCCUCAAGAAUUUCCCUAUAUUUAGCGCCACCCAUCAUUCCUUCAAUUCUGACCAGUUUCCCUGUCCCUGCUGAUGAAAAACAUCCCAACAGCAUGAUGCUGCCACCAUGCUUCACUGUGGGGAUGAUGUUCUCGGGGUGAUGAGAGGUGUUGGGUUUGCUCCAGACAUAGCGUUUAUCUUGAUGGCCAAAAAGCUCAGUUUUAGUCUAAUCUGACCAGAGUAUCUUGUUCCAUAUGUUUGGGGAGUCUCCCACAUCCCUUUUGGCGAACACCAAACAUGCUUGCUUCUUUUUUUCUUUAAGCAAUGGCUUUUUUCUGGCCACUCUUCCGUAAAGCCCAGCUCUGUCGAGUGUACGGCUUAAAGGGGUCCUAUGGACAGAUCUCCGCUGUGGAGCUUUGCAGCUCCUUCAAGGUUAUCCUUGGUCUCUUUGUUGCCUCUCUGGUUAAUGCCCUCCUUGCCUGGUCCGUGAGUUUUGGUGGGCGGCCCUCUCUUGGCAGGUUUGUUGUGGUGCCAUAUUCUUUCCAUUUUUUAAUAAUGGAUUUAAUGGCGCUCUGUGGGAUGUUCAAAGUUCCGGAUAUUUUUUUAGAACCCAACCCUGAUCUGUACUUCUCCACUACUUUGUCCCUGACCAGUUUGGAGAGACUUCCUUGGUCUUCAUGUUGCCCCUUGCUUAGUGGUGUUGUAGACUCUGGGGCCUUUCAGAAAAGGUAUAUGUAUAUAUAUAUAUAUAUAUAUGAGAUCAUAUAACAGAUCAUGUGAGACUUAAAUAAAGUCCACCUGUGUGCAAUCUAACUAAUUACGUGACUUCUGAAGGUAAUUAGUUGCACCAGGUCUUAUUUAAGGGCUUCAUAGCAAAGGGAAUACAUAUGCAUGCAUCACUUCUCCAUUUUGAUUUUUUAUACGUUUUUGAAACAAGUUAUCUUUUCAUUUCACUUCACCAAUUUGGACUAUUUUUGUGUAUGUCCAUUACAUGAAAUCCAAACUAAAAUCUAUUUAAAUUACAGGUUGUAAUGAUACAAAAUAGGAAAAACGCCAAGGGGGAUGAAUACAUUUGCAAGGCACUGUAGUUUGGAGCUGUGCUUUGGGUCAUUGUCCUGUUGUAGGAUGAAAUUGGCUCCAGUUAAGCGCCGUCCACAGGGUAGGGCAUGGCGUUGCAAAAUGGAGUGAUAGCCUUCCUUCUUCAAGAUCCCUUUUACCCUGUACAAAUCUCCCACUUUACCAGCACCAAAGCAGCCCCAGACCAUCACAUUGGCUCCACCAUGAUGACAGAUGCAUCAAGCACUCCUCCAGCAUCUUUUCAUUUUUUCUGCGUCUCACGAAUGGUCUUCUUUGUGAUCCGAACACCUCAAACUUAGAUUCGUCUGUCCAUAACACUUUUUUCCAACCAUCGUCUGUUAUUUUGCCCAUCUUAAUCUUUUAUUUUUAUAGGCCAGUCUGAGAUAUGGCUUUUUCUUUGCAACUCUGCCUAGAAGGCCAGCAUCCCGGAGUCGCCUCUUCACUGUUGACGUUGAGAAUGGUGUUUUGAAGGUACUAUUUAAUGAAGCUGCCAGUUGAGGACUUGUGAGGCGUCUGUUUCUCAAACUAGACACUCUAAUGUACUUGUCCUCUUGCUCAGUUGUGCACCGGGGCCUCCCACUCCUCUUUCUAUUCUGGUUAGAGCCAGUUUGCUCUGUUCUGUGAAGGGAGUAGUACAAGGCGUUGUACAAGAUCUUCAGUUUCUUGGCAAUUUCUCGCAUGGAAUAGCCUUCAUUUCUUAGAACAAGAAUAGACUGACGAGUUUCAGAAGAAAGUUAUUUGUUUCUGGCCAUUUUGAGCCUGUAAUUGAACCAACAAAUGCUGAUGCUCCAGAUACUCAACUAGUCUUAUUGCCUCUAAUCAGAACAACAGUUUUCAGCUGUGCUAACAUAAUUGCAAAACGGUUUUCUAAUGAUCAAUUAGCCUUUUAAAAUGAUGAACUUGGAUUAGCUAACACAACGUGCCAUUGGAACACAGGAGUGAUGGUUGCUGAUAAUGGGCCUCUGUACGCCUAUGUAGAUACUCCAUUAAAACUCAGCUGUUUCCAGCUACAAUAGUCAUUUACAACAUUAACAAUGUCUACACUGUAUUUCUGAUCAAUUUGAUGUUAUUUUAAUGGACAAUUUUUUUUGCUUUUCUUUCAAAAACAAGGACAUUUCUAAGUGACCCCAAACUUUUGAACGUUAGUGUGUAUGGGGAAUACAACAGAAUGUAAUAUAAAUAUGGGGAAUACAACAGGAGAAUGCUCCCAUGGCGAACGAACUCUGUGCAACACCGGCCAGUCAGAAGACAAGACGUAAUGCACAACUUUUGUUAUACUACUGUGUAUAAAAGUACCAUGUGGGUAAAAUGUAUAUGAAACAAAAAAAAAAGAAUUAUCUUGAAAGUAAGUUUGUUAGAAUUCAAAAAUAAUUUCUGAUUGAAGAAAAGGUGUGAGAAACAGGUUGAAUCCAAUAAGGUCAUGAAUGGCUGAAAACAAUAAGGUGAUGAAUGGCUGAAUACAAUAAGGUCAUGAAUGGCUGAACACAAUAAGGUUAUGAAUGGCUGAAAACAAUAAGGUCAUGAAUGGCUGAAAACAAUAAGGUUAUGAAUGGCUGAAAACAAUAAGGCGAUGAAUGGCUGAAUACAAUGAGGUGAUGAAUGGCUGAAAACAAUAAGGUUAUGAAUGGCUGAAAACAAUAAGGCCAUGAAUGGCUGAAUACAAUGAGGUGAUGAAUGGCUGAAAACAAUAAGGUCAUGAAUGGCUGAAUGGCUGAAAACAAUAAGGUGAUGAAUGGCUGAAUACAAUAAGGUGAUGAAUGAUGUCUGCUAAAUGCCAUUAUUAUAUUCAUAUACUACAAAGUUUAACCAUCAGAAUCAUCCCUAAAGCUUCUCCCAUAAUCAUAUUCCUCUUAGCUUAUUAUACAAUUAUAAUAUUAUAUAUAUAUAUAUAUAUAUAUAUAUAUAUAUAAGGUGAUAUAUAUAUAUACACACACACACACUUAUGCAAAAAUAUGUAUUCUAUUUUAGUGAGCCAUUUACUUUAUGUUCAUAUUAUUAUCUUUUAGUGUUUCUUAUUGUUGCAUCGUCAUGAAGGAACCUGCAAGUAAGCAUUUCUUUGGACAAUGUAGUGUAUACCGUGCGUACCCCGUACAUAGGACAAAAACUUUAAACAUGGACCGACAAUAUAAUGAAUAUAUCACUGCUUUCUAACAAGUGCAGGAACCUUAAACCAAAUAUUUCAACAAAGUCUUAAGAUCAGGAGGAUUCUGAAUGUGGUGCCGGAGCGUAGCAGAUCACAUCAGGGAUGUGCUCCAAAUGGCGCCCUAUUCCCUAUUUAGUGCACUACUUUUAAUCAGGGCACGUUGGAGCUCUGGUCAAAAGUAGUGGACUAUACAAGGAAUAGGAUGCCAUAUGGGAUGUAAUCCAGAUUUCCCAAUCUGAAUAAGAAUUACGUUUUGGAAUGUUGCUAAUCAUUUUAAUUUAUUCAUUAACCAAUACCAAUCAUAUUAUAUUAUUCUCUCAUUAAUUAAUUAACCAAUACCAAUCAUAUUAUCUUAUUCUCUCAUUAAUUAAUUAACCAAUACCAAUCAUAUUAUUCUCGAAUUAAUUAUUAAUUAUUUUAAAAAAAUCAUUUUCACAUUGUUAUAAUGAACUUUAAACCCUCUGCCAAACACUCAUACAACAUGUAAAACUCUUCCAAUAUUAUCAACAUCCAAUGAAGCAAAUGUCUGUAAAGUCCUACUAAGUUACCUUACAGCCCCUUGGCCAAAGUAGCGCCCUAAAUAAUAGGGUGUUAGGACACGACCCAUGAGUUAUCCCUGGCCAACCCAUGUAAUUAGACCAGGUAAUACCAUGAGUUAUCCCUGGCCAACCCAGGUAAUACCAUGAGUUAUCCCUGGCCAACCCAUGUAAUUAGACCAGGUAAUACCAUGAGUUAUCCCUGGCCAACCCAGGUAAUACCACGAGUUAUCCCUGGCCAACCCAUGUAAUUAGACCAGGUAAUACCAUGAGUUAUCCCUGGC